CUCACAGAAGACCAGAACACCAGCACUCCAAGGCUGCAUGGUGAGGCCAGAACACUCAUUCCCUGGGAACAAGGUGAUGAGUGAUGAGCCCGAACACCAGAAGCUUGCAACUACCACCUCCUGUGCCGUGAGGAAACCACCCCAUGGGUAAAUGUGCACAAGAGUCAUUUCAGACCACACCCUUACAACAGGACAUUAAUAUGAAUCUAAGUAGCCAGGGAAAAAAAAG
rnacentral:lncRNA from 1 species